GCCACAAUAUUAUCCGAGACACCACAAUGAGGUGAGCGCGUGAAGUGCAUCAACAAGUUGGCUAGAUUGCCUAACAGAUAAUUCAUGAAAUGGGUAAAAACUUCUCUCUUCUAUCCUCAGAUAUAUACAGCAUUGAGCAAUAUGAGAGAACAUAAGGGCACACAAGUGGC